rnacentral:rRNA from 1 species
UUGCACAGGUGCUGCAUGGCUGUCGUCAGCUCGUGUCGUGAGAUGUUCGGUUAAGUCCGCUAACGAGCGCAACCCUCGCUGUGUGUUAUAUGUGUCACACGGGACUGCCGGUCUUAAGCCGGAGGAAGGGUGGGGAUGAUGUCAAGUCAGCAUGGCCUUUAUAUCCUGGGCUACACACACGCUACAAUGGCCAACACAAUAGGUUGCUAAGCCGCGAGGUGGCGCCAAUCCAUAAAGUUAGUCUCAGUUCAGAUUGUAGGCUGCAACCCGCCUGCAUGAAGAUGGAGUUGCUAGUAACCGCAGGUCAGCUAUACUGCGGUGAAUACGUUCCCGGGGCUU